UACGAACCGUGCGAACGUUGUUCGGAAUCACUGGGCUUAAAGGGCGCGUAGGCGGGCUGUCAAGUCCGGGGUGAAAGCCCUCCGCUCAACGGAGGAAUGGCCUUGGAUACUGGUGGUCUUGAGGAAGGUAGGGGCGUGCGGAACUCUCGGUGGAGCGGUGAAAUGCGUAGAUAUCGGGAGGAACGCCGGUGGCGAAAGCGGCACGCUGGACCUUUUCUGACGCUGAUGCGCGAAAGCCAGGGGAGCAAACGGG
rnacentral:rRNA from 1 species